CCUACGGGAGGCAGCAGUGGGGAAUAUUGCACAAUGGGGGAAACCCUGAUGCAGCGACGCCGCGUGAGUGAGGAAGUAAUUCGUUAUGGAAAGCUCUAUCAGCAGGGAAGAAAAUGACGGUACCUGAGUAAGAAGCACCGUCUAACUACGUGCCAGCAGCCGCGGUAAUACGUAGGGGGCAAGCGUUAUCCGGAGUGAUUGGGCGUAAGGGGUGCGUAGGCGGCCUGCUAGGUCUGGAGUGAAAGGCACAGGCUCAACCGGUACAGGCUGUGGAAACUGGCGGGCUCGAGUGCAGGAGAGGGAGGUGGAACUCGAGGUGUAGCGGUAAAAUGCGUAGAUAUAGGGAAGAACACCAGUGGCGAAGGCGGCCGGCCGGCCUGUUACUGACGCUGAGGCACGAAAGCGUGGGGAGCAAAUAGGAUUAGAUACCCUUGUAGUC
rnacentral:rRNA from 1 species